ensembl:lncRNA RXYLT1-AS1 RXYLT1 antisense RNA 1
GAUCAUGUCCCUGCAGACCCGGAUGGAGAGGAUGAGCCCGGCCGCGCUGAACUUCUUGUAGAGCAUCGCCUCGGUCACGUCGGGAUGGAGGUCCCCCACGUACAGCGAGGACGUAGCUGGGGGCACUGGGGUUCAUCUCGGCACUGCUGCUCGCAGGGCCACAGGCCGCGACCUUUCCGUGAGAGGAGGAGAGCGAAUGCUGGGGCUAGGGGCCGGAGCUGGGGGAAGAAGAUGGAGUAUACACCUCCACCUCUUUGAGUUCAGGCUUGCCACUGUGACUGCUUUGGCCUUUGGAAACUGGGCUGAAGGGACAGGGUGCCAGUUCUAGGCAGAAACUUUGAGAUCCAGGGCAUGACUCAUCACAAGGUACUCAGGAGGCUGAGGCAGGAGAAUUGCUUGAACCCAGGAGGUAGAGGUUGCAGUGAGCCAAGAUUGCACCACUACUGUACUCCAGCUUGGGCGAAAAACAGGGAGUUCCUUCCAGUUCUUGAUAAAGAUAAAGGGAGCACCCAUGGACUUGAGUAACUGCAGAGGAGCACCGUGGUGCACAGAUGUAUUCCCAC